AGCUCAAUGGCGCUUUACAGUAUUUUAGAAAAUUUAAAUAAAAAUGUUAGUAUAUUUACAUCAUUCCAUUUAAAAUUUAGUAUAUAUUUGCCAUUACUAUAUAAAAGUCAAAAUAAGAAGUGAAUUAGAUAAAAAGUCAGUUACAGUACAGUUACAGUACUAAUCGUAUCAAUUUCUGUAUCAAAGCACCAGUGCGGUGCUCCGCUCUUCCAAGUAGUGCGUGUUGUGUCGGAUUACUUUUUGCAACACUCUCGUUGUAAAGGCAAUUUUCCAUUGCAGUCGCUUUGCCCGAGCGGGCGGAGCAAACGUUACUCAACUUAAUUUCUCGGUAAUUGCCUAUCCUGUGCAUUUUUUGUCCGCUUGAAUGCUUGCGGACACGCCAUGAAAUUAGAACUACAUUCAACUUUCUUGGC